rnacentral:rRNA from 1 species
CCCUUAGAUGUUCUGGGCCGCACGCGCGCUACACUGAUGCAUUCAACGAGCCUAUCCUUGACCGACAGGUCCGGGUAAUCUUUGAAUCUGCAUCGUGACGGGGAUAGAUUAUUGCAAUUAUUAAUAUUCAACGAGGAAUGCCUAGUAGGCGCAAGUCAUCAGCUUGCGUCGAUUACGUCCCUGCCCUUUGUACACACCGCCCGUCGCUCCUACCGAUUGGGUGUGCUGGUGAAAUGUUCGGAUCGGCCGUUUGUCGCGGUUUCCGCGGCUCGUGGCUGAGAAGUUCAUUAAACCCUCCCACCUAGAGGAAGGAGAAGUCGUAACA